rnacentral:rRNA from 1 species
AUGUUCCCUGAAUCUGUUGCCAACCUGAUGGGUGGCACGGUGCUCAACACAUGGCCGGGCGGCAAGCACACCGACACCGUUAUGGGCAACGGACGACGGCCACCCAGGGACUCCAAACCUGCUAUUGUCAAGGGUUACGUAGCUGUUGACCUCGAUGGACACCCCUUCCCCGACACUCUCGAAGUCAUUGUCCACACUGCGCCCAACUGCUACGACCUCAACCUGCUUGGGCAAAGCAAUGGCACCGUAGGUGUCAGCGUUGCAUUCGGCGGAUCCGGUGGACCGGACUGUGCCCCGCGGUCCGCCUAG